AUAAGUAGUCGAAAAGCCGCAGCGCAAGGAAUAGGCGGCAAAGUGCUCGUACGAAUAGUAUAUGCAUUCAAUCGAUCGAAAUUUUAUAUGUGAUUACGCGAUUUCAAAUAAAUUUCGCACGCGUUUACAAGGAAUUGCGUCCAUUUGGCCUGCAUAUCCAAAAACACAUUUCAUAUUGGCUUUAGUGAAAUUUUUAAAUUUUAUUUUCAAUUUCGAAAUUUAUUUGGUGUGCUGGACAUUGUUUCUAUUUUGACGCAUUUGCAUUAAAUGCGUUUUUAAUUACGCUGAAUUUAGCAAAUUCCAAAUGUGA